rnacentral:rRNA from 1 species
GUGAAUCAUCGAAUCUUUGAACGCACCUUGCGCUCCUCGGCCUUCCGAGGAGCAUGCCUGUUUGAGUGCCCAGAAAUUCACUCAACCCAAAACUUGCUUUUGGGUUGGAGGGUGGGGGUCUUGCCUUGCUCGAUGUCGAGCGAGGCUCCCUUCAAAUGUGUUAGCUGGCCCUCUGUAGGUCUGCCCACUGGCUUGAUAUUCAUACGUCGAUGCCGCCGGGUGACCUUACUCAAGAGGCCGCUCACAGCCGUCUUUCGACAACUUUCUGAGCUCGGGCCUUCAAAUCAGGUAGGAUUACCCGCUGAACUUAAGCAUAUCAAUAAGCCGAGG